CAGCAGCCACGGUAAUACGUAGGUGGCAAGCGUUGUCCGGAAUUAUUGGGCGUAAAGGGCUCGCAGGCGGUUUCAUAAGUCUGAUGUGAAAGCCCCCGGCUCAACCGGGGAGGGUCAUUGGAAACUGGGAAACUUGAGUGCAGAAGAGGAGAGUGGAAUUCCACGUGUAGCGGUGAAAUGCGUAGAGAUGUGGAGGAACACCAGUGGCGAAGGCGACUCUCUGGUCUGUAACUGACGCUGAGGAGCGAAAGCGUGGGGAGCGAACAGGAUUAGAUACCCGCGUAGUCCCUGUCUCUUAUAA
rnacentral:rRNA from 1 species